rnacentral:sRNA from 1 species
UUAAACAAGUUAAAAUCUAGGCAACAGACUCCUUGAAGUGUUGACUGCCCAACUUAAUCAUGACUGUGAUUCAAAAAUGUUAAUAAAUAAACAAAGGUGUAGAUCAUGGGGAAUUCAUAUGCUGGGCAACUGAAAUCUGCUCGAUUUGAGGAAGCUCUCCACAACUCCAUAGAAGCCUCCCUCAGAUGUAGUAGUGUGGUACCGCGGCCAAUUUUUUCCCAGCUAUACCUGGACCCUGACCAGCAUCCUUUCUCAUCUGCAGAUGUCAAACCCAAGGUGGAGGAUCUGGACAAAGAUUUGGUAAACCGCUACACUCAAAAUGGAAGUCUGGAUUUUUCUAACAAUCUAACAGUUAAUGAAAUGGAAGAUGAUGAAGACGAUGAAGAAAUGUCUGAUUCAAACAGCCCACCAAUUCCCUAUUCACAAAAACCUGCCCCAGAAGGAUCUUGCACUACAGAUGGUUUUUGUCAAGCAGGAAAGGAUUUGCGUUUGGUAUCACUGUGUAUGGAACAAAUUGACAUCCCAGCAGGAUUCCUCCUGGUGGGGGCCAAGUCUCCCAAUCUGCCUGAACACAUCCUAGUUUGCGCUGUGGACAAGCGAUUUCUACCGGAUGAUCAUGGAAAAAAUGCACUUUUAGGGUUUUCUGGAAAUUGUAUCGGCUGUGGAGAAAGAGGAUUUCGAUAUUUCACGGAAUUUUCCAACCACAUUAACUUGAAGCUUACCACUCAGCCAAAGAAGCAGAAGCACUUAAAGUACUACCUAGUCAGAAGCUCCCAGGGUGUACUGUCUAAGGGACCUCUUAUCUGCUGGAAAGAAUGUAGAAGCCGACAAUCCUCUGCUUCUUGCCACUCUAUUAAACCAAGCUCUUCAGUGUCGUCAACUGUGACCCCAGAAAAUGGGACAACUAAUGGAUACAAAUCAGGAUUCACUCAGACAGAUGCUGCUAAUGGAAACAGUAGCCAUGGAGGGAAGGGCAGUGCAUCCAGCUCCACUCCAGCCCACACAGGGAAUUACUCUUUGUCACCAAGACCUAGCUAUGCAUCAGGAGAUCAAGCUACCAUGUUCAUUUCUGGGCCACCAAAGAAACGACACCGGGGAUGGUAUCCUGGGUCACCUCUCCCCCAACCUGGCUUAGUUGUACCUGUCCCUACAGUUCGCCCUCUUUCAAGAACGGAGCCCCUUUUAUCUGCCCCAGUUCCACAGACCCCACUAACUGGAAUUUUACAACCCAGGCCCAUUCCUGCAGGGGAAACUGUAAUUGUUCCUGAAAACCUGCUGAGUAACUCAGGAGUUAGACCAGUAAUUCUGAUAGGCUAUGGCACUUUACCCUAUUUCUAUGGAAAUGUUGGUGACAUUGUUGUGAGUCCUCUGUUGGUGAAUUGCUACAAGAUUCCACAGUUGGAAAACAAAGAUUUGGAACAAUUAGGGUUGACUGGCAGCCAAUUUCUGAGCGUGGAAAACAUGAUUCUUCUGACGAUACAGUAUCUUGUGCGGCUGGGUCCUGAUCAGGUACCUCUCAGGGAAGAAUUUGAGCAAAUUAUGCUGAAAGCUAUGCAAGAAUUUACUCUGAGAGAAAGAGCCCUGCAGAUAGGUGCUCAGUGUGUCCCUGUGUCACCAGGACAACUCCCCUGGCUUGCUAGAUUAAUUGCCAGCGUAUCUCAAGACUUGGUUCAUGUGAUUGUGACCCAGAACUCUUUGGCAGAGGGCAUUUCAGAGACCUUAAGGACUCUCAGUGAAAUGAGACACUAUCAAAGGCUGCCAGAUUAUGUGGUGGCAAUCUGUGCAUCGAAAAUCAGAGGAAAUGAAUUUUGUGUGGUAGUGUUAGGUCAGCACCAGUCCCGAGCUCUGGCAGAGAGCAUGCUCACCACAAGUGAGUUUUUGAAAGAAAUUAGUUAUGAGCUUAUCACAGGAAAGGUCAGUUUCCUGGCAUCACAUUUCAAAACCACAUCAUUAGGCGAUGACCUAGACAAGCUGCUGGAAAAAAUGCAACAAAGAAGAGGAGACAGUGUGGUUACCCCUUUCGAUGGAGACCUUAAUGAAUGUGUGUCACCCCAGGAGGCUGCUGCUAUGAUUCCCACACAAAACCUGGAUUUAGAUAACGAAACCUUCCAAAUUUAUCAACCGCAGCUAACAGUUGCCAGAAAACUCUUAUCCCAGGUGUGUGCUAUAGCAGACAGUGGCAGCCAGAGCCUGGACCUCGGUCACUUCAGCAAAGUAGACUUCAUCAUCAUUGUCCCCAGAUCGGAGGUGUUGGUUCAGCAAACUCUUCAACGGAUUCGACAAUCAGGUUCCAGUCCACGUUCACACAUUGCAUUCAGUUAUGUCCUCUUCAUCUCCUCCAAUCUAUGACAUUUCUUCAGUCUUUCCUGGCUUUUCAUGACCUUAAGUUAAUACUAAUCAAUUGUUUUGUGUAGGGAAUGUUUGCGUUUUCUCACAAUUAAAUUGA